rnacentral:sRNA from 1 species
UUGACAGCUCUGGGGCCUGAAGCUCUCAAUUUAUCCACAGAACAGGUAUGGCACUGGCUUUUGGAAUCGAAAGUUCCCCACAAUCCUGUCAUUGUGCUUUAAGCCUGAAGCAGACAGACCAUUUUUAGGUACAGAAUAGUUCAAUCUCCAUUCCUAUUCAGUCCUUGGCCUCU